CCCAGAUGUAGGCAACUGCCUAGGUUGCCUCAAACCUAAGCAAAUGUUACGCUGCUGGGAGAAAAAUAGCCAAUAACUGGUUGGCAUUCUGGGCCUGGUUAAUGCUAAAUUUGUGUUAACUAUACCAGUAUGCCAGCAUA
ensembl:snoRNA SNORA74 Small nucleolar RNA SNORA74